rnacentral:rRNA from 1 species
UACGAAGGGGGCUAGCGUUGCUCGGAAUCACUGGGCGUAAAGGGUGCGUAGGCGGGUCUUUAAGUCAGGGGUGAAAUCCUGGAGCUCAACUCCAGAACUGCCUUUGAUACUGAAGAUCUUGAGGUCGGGAGAGGUGAGUGGAACUGCGAGUGUAGAGGUGAAAUGCGCAGAUAUCAGGAAGAACACCCGUGGCGAAGGCGGCUCUCUGGGACGGUACUGACGCUGAGACGCGAAAGCGUGGGGAGCGAACAGG